rnacentral:rRNA from 1 species
AUACGAAGGGGGCAAGCGUUGUUCGGAAUUACUGGGCGUAAAGGGCGCGUAGGCGGCUUAUCAAGUCAGGCGUGAAAUUCCCGGGCUCAACCUGGGGGCUGCGCUUGAUACUGAUGAGCUUGAAUGCGGGAGAGGAUAGUGGAAUUCCCAGUGUAGAGGUGAAAUUCGUAGAUAUUGGGAAGAACACCAGUGGCGAAGGCGGCUAUCUGGCCCGUAAUUGACGCUGAGGCGCGAAAGCGUGGGGAGCAAACA